GGGCAUAGCUCAGUGGUAGAGGACAUGCUUAGCAUGCACGAAGUCCUGGGUUCAAUCCCCAGUACUUCCA
rnacentral:tRNA from 1 species